ensembl:lncRNA
CCUCAUCUCGUGACUUCUUGAAAAAAUGACAGUGUUGUCAGUAGUGAGAAAUUAAGGGUUUCUUCAUUUUUUCUCAGUAAAUUGUCACUGUACAUCUACAUAUAUAAAACCUGGGCAGCAGUAGAAGAACUUAGAAUCAUAGAAUAGUUUGUGUCUACGUAUCUCAUUUAACCUCUGCUUAUCUACGGAUUUAGGAUUUAUAGUAUUUGUCAGAUCUGGAAUAUUAAUUUCAAUUUAAAUGAAAUCUAAAGAGUUUAUAGGUCCUGUUUAGAAUCAUAGAAUAGAAUCAUAGAAUCUUUGAGUUGGAAGGGACCUCCGAGGGCCAUCUAGUCCAACUCCCCUGCAGUGCACAGGGACACCACAGCUCCAUCAGGUUGCCCAAAGCCUGAUCCAGCCUGGCCCUGAAAGUCUCCAGAGAUAGGAUGCAGCCCAGGAUAUGUUUGGCUUUCUGGGCUGCAAGGGCACAAUGCUGGCUCAUGUCCAUCCUCCCAUCCACCAGUACCCUCAGGACUUUUUCAGCAGGGCUGCUCUCGAUCCUUUCAUCUCCCAGCUUCUAUUGGUAUCCCCCAACUUCAACUCAACUCAAGCUUCCAACUCAAAUGUGGAGUGCCUGCACUCGGAGACAUAGUUGGUGGGCAUGAUAAAAAUGGGUUAAGGUUAGACUUGGUGAUCUUGUGGUCUUUUCCAACUUUAAUGAUUCUAUGAUCAAGUUUCUUUGGAGAGCCCAGAUCGUCUCCUCUGCCACAGCACUCACCUCUGGAGAAUUCUCACUAUGACACUGAUCACAAAGAGCAGAAGCAGACCUCCACAGAGAGUCAACAUGAUGAUUUCAUAAAUAAUGGAUGACGAACCUUGAAGAGCAGAUGGAAACCACAGGGCGGAAUAAUCUCCUCCUUUCACAGGCAGUUAAUAAAGUGUGGAGGUGGAUCAAAGAGAGGCUUUACUCACUGUCCUCUUGUGAAGCAAUUCCUUGCUUGUAGAGCGGUUGACGCAGCUGCACUCCACCUACAGGCCUCCAGAGCUUUCUCCAAGCACUGGGCUCCUUCCAGCAGUCGCACAUGCAGCCUCUCCUGCAACAAAGCUGCCUCUGUUGUUUGCAUCCAGAAGUCUCUGCAGAAAUGUGCCACAUCCAGGGCCUUUGGGUCAUUCCAGCGUGAUUGGUGGAAAUCCCCUCCUGGUUUGAAACCCAAUCAGCUAAGAAGGCUCCUGGCCAAGGGGCAGCACAGAAGUCUGAACCCAGACUUUGUAUUUUGGUGCCAGUCUAGUUUUCGCACUGAAAGGAACAGUGAUAGAAUGAAACGAACUAGUUUUAGUUUAGUUUAAGUUUAGUUUAAGACUUCUAGAAUCAUUAAGACUAGAAAAGAUCUCAAAGAUCACCAAGACCAACCCCAACCCAAUAACCACGUCCCUCAUUGAGCAGCUGUCACGAUGGCCAAGUUCUGGGUUGCUGGAGAAGGGCUGAGAUUGAAACGUGCUUUAUUUUGGUGUUGGCUUAUUCUUAGCUUAGCUUAUUCUUCACUGUACCACGAGCAGGGUGUUGUGAAUCUCACUCUGCAGCACUUGCCUCUUCUCACACCUCCUCCUUGGAAGUGGCAUCACUGCAGAUCAGGACCUCCUUUUUCUCUGUCCUUGCUGCUGGAGCUGAGCUGGCAACUACACUGAGGUUUUUUUUUUUUGAAAAACAAAACAAAACAAAACCUUCAUCACUGCUCAAAGCAUUUGUGCUUUGUGAGCAGAGAGGGCGGGGUGCUGUAGGGUGGAGACUCCUUUUUCCAUCUGUACACUUUGGUGUUUUGGGGUUGGCAGGUAAGCAGGGCUUUCAAAACAAUGGAGAAUGACACUUUUUUUUUUCUUUUUUUUUUCCCCUGCAGGCAGGUAAACAGCCACAAAACAAUUACAGCUCCUCCUGCAAGUAUCAACAGCACCAAAGCAGCUCUUCACAGCCCUUCCUCACAAACUUUUCUUGUGAAUAAAAAUUCACCCUGAAUGUACGUACUUUCA